AUGGACCAUGGCGGAGACCAGCAGCUCAGGUGUUUUUAAAUGGACAGAUGAGCACACACGUGUGUUUAUUCAAGCGCAUGAAGCCAUCUUAACUGGAAAGCUUAAUGCUGCCAUUAAAGGCUUUGAUUGCUUGAUCAUGGUUUUCCUCAUCCUCUGGAUCAACCACAUCCACAUUAAGAAGAGCAAGUUUGUGGGGUGAUGAGUGUAUGGGGUGAUGAGGCAGAUGGGUGUACUUAGACAAGGAUAGCCACCAUCCUGGAGGAUGCACUUGCCUGCAGGUGGAAAUAGGCUGCCAGCAGAGCUGUUCCUUAGCACCCUGAUGUAAUGCACAGACCCAGGAUAUCCCACAAAGUGCUCAGCUGCUUCAUCAAAAUAAAUCUACAGAAUUGCCACAGCUGUGUUGAGAUCGGUGUUGGUUGUAACUAUUUACUAAGUUAUUAGUUACUGUAAUUUAAUUACUUUUCCCUUGAAAAAUUAAAGUAAGGGAUUACUCUUAUUUUUCUUGUAAUCUAAUUACAGUUACUUCUGCUGUAACUAAAUACUGUGGACUCUAAAACAAUUAUGUAUACUAUAAAACAAUAGUGAAUUUAACAUGGUUAGGUUUACAAUUCUCAUAACUGGUUGAUUAUAAGCAUUAAUAUUAAUGAGAUGCUGGCUGUUUAUUAAUACUUAAUAACACAUAUUAAUGCCUGAUUCUGCAAAACCUUAUUCUAUGAACUUAACCCUCCCCAUUUCUACCAAUAUUUAAAAUUAACAACUUCUUAAGUAUUAAUAAGCAGUAGUUAGAGUAUAUUGAGGCAAAAGUAGUUAAUAGUUAGUUAAUAGAGAGAAUUGAACCCUAAAGUGGGAUAAAGAAUAAUUUAUGUAGUUUUAUAUAUUAUUUCUUCUGGCCAUUUCAAGCCUAUCCUUGUAUCAUGUACUAAAUAGGAUUUAGGAAGUAAUUAGUAAUAAGUAAUUAAAUAUUUUUUUGGAGAGAGUAAUUUGUAGUCUUAUUACAUGAUUUAAGAUGUAAUUAGUAACUAGUAAUUAAUUACUUUUUUUGAGUAACUUACCCAACACUGGUUGAGAUGGCAGUAAAUAUGUAAUAGUUUGUUAUAAAAAAUACAUUUGAAA